CCGCUGCUGUGUGUCCACCAUGACAGGGAGGUCUGGGGCGCGGAUGCCGACGAGUUCAGGCCAGAGAGGUUCGCCGAGGGGAUCUCCAAGGCGUCAGCGGACGCGCCGGCGUUCUUCCCGUUCGGGUGGGGCCCGCGGACCUGCGUCGGCCAGAGCUUCGCGCUGCUCGAGGCUAAGAUGGGGCUCGCCAUGAUUCUGCGGCGCUUCUCCUUGGAUCUCUCGCCGUCCUACGCGCACGCGCCCUUCCCCGUCGGCAUGCUGCAGCCAGAGCACGGCGCGCAACUCAGGCUCAAGAGGCUCCAUUGA
rnacentral:rRNA from 1 species